AACUUGUUUGUAACAUUUUUCUCACUUGGAUUAUUUUGUUGUUGCUGACCUUUAUAGUGAUACCUACAUCUUGGACUAGUUUACAGAAUAAGCACAAGCUCGUCAUAAGGCUGGCUUGCUUUUAUGAUGUAACAUAAGUAUGAAUUUUAACUUUGUGCCGUCCAUAUAAAUAGAAGUUCAACAUAUUUUUGUUUUCCUCUGGUAACAAUUAAAUUGAGAUGAAGAUUAUCACAUCUGAUUUGUGUUACUAUUAUAAUGUCAUUGUGCAAUUUUAAUGAGAUAUAUCAUAUCAUUUUGCUCAGUUGUCGCAAAAUACAAAAUACGAAGUUGGAACCUCUGCAACCGUGUACAAUGUCGCCGA
rnacentral:lncRNA from 1 species